UGUUGAAAAGUCACAAUCAACAUUCAUUACUGUCGGUGGGUUGUGAUAAAUGAAAAAAACUCACCGCCAGAUGAAUGCCACUGUGGCUAGGCAUG